UACGUAGGGUGCGAGCGUUGUCCGGAAUUAUUGGGCGUAAAGAGCUUGUAGGCGGUCUGUCGCGUCUGCUGUGAAAAUCCGGGGCUCAACCCCGGACUUGCAGUGGGUACGGGCAGACUAGAGUGUGGUAGGGGAGACUGGAAUUCCUGGUGUAGCGGUGAAAUGCGCAGAUAUCAGGAGGAACACCGAGUGGCGAAGGCAGGUCUCUGGGCCACUACUGACGCUGGAGAAGC
rnacentral:rRNA from 1 species